UCUCAAGCCCCACCGCCGAACUCCCGAGUCCCGAACCUGCUUCUCUCCCGAGUUUCGGCGUCUCCGGCUCCACCCAGCCCCCACCACCGAGCUCCACCUCCAGCCUUUCAAGCCCUACCCAGCUUGGAGGUUUCCCGAGUCCCGAACACCUUGUGCAGCAACCUGCAACUAGCAAUUUAGCAAACCCGUCUCCGGUCUCCGAGCUCCGCCUCCAGGGGCGGACAAUGCCGAAUUGCUGACCGGCACUUCAAGUCUUCAAGCUGCAAGUUUUGUUUGACUGUUUGAUAACUUGAUUUCCAUUUAAUUAAGGUAAUGGAAAUGGGUUUGAUAAAUGAUAACUUGAUACCGAUUGGGUAGUCCGUAGAUAGAAAUGGGUUUGAUUUUGAUACCUUGAUUUCCAUUUAAUGGUAAUAAAAUUCUUCUUCAA